rnacentral:rRNA from 1 species
AUGCAAGUCGGGCGGAGAUACAUGUCUAAGAGAUUUCGGUCGAAUUAAUGUAUCUAGCGGCGGAUGGGUGAGGAACGCGUGGAGAACCUGCCCUUCACAGGGGGAUAACAGCUGGAAACGGCUGUUAAUACCGCAUAUGCUCACAGGAUCGCAUGAUCCAGGGAGGAAAGCCGAGACGGUGAAGGAUGGCUCCGCGUCGGAUUAGCCAGUUGGCGGGUAACGGCCCACCAAAGCGAUGAUCCGUAGCCGGCCUGAGAGGGCGACCGGCCACAUUGGGACUGAGACACGGCCCAAACUCCUACGGGAGGCAGCAGUGGGGGAUAUUGCACAAUGGGGGAAACCCUGAUGCAGCGACGCCGCGUGAAGGAGGAAGUGCUUCGGCAUGUAAACUUCUAUCAGCAGGGAAGAAGAUGACGGUACCUGACUAAGAAGCCCCGGCUAACUACGUGCCAGCAGCCGC